GGAUGUGAGGGCGAUCUGGCUGCGACAUCUGUCACCCCAUUGAUCGCCAGGGUUGAUUCGGCUGAUCUGGCUGGCUAGGCGGGUGUCCCCCUCCUCCCUCACCGAUCCAUGUGCAUCCCUCCCGAAGCUGCGCGCUCGGUCGAAGAGGACGACCUUCCCCCCCGAGGAGAGGACCGGUCUUCGGUCAAGGGUAUACGAGUAGCUGCGCUCCCCUGCUAGAACCUCCAAACAAGCUCUCAUAAAUAAAAGCCUUGGUAGACUACCAGGUAUCACACACGGGAAAGGUCAUUGCUGUGGCUU
ensembl:misc_RNA 7SK 7SK RNA